rnacentral:tRNA from 1 species
ACCUCGGUAGUGCGAUAGAUCAGCACGCCAGACUGGAUAUCUGUAAGUGCGGGUUCGAGUCCUGCUUGAGGUC